GACGAACGCUGGCGGCGUGCUUAACACAUGCAAGUUGAACGAGUGGCGAACGGGUGAGUAAUACGUGAGUAACCUGCCCUCUUUUUGGGAUAAGCCCUGGAAACGGGGUCUAAUACCGGAUAAAGGGGGAUGGGCUCGCGGCCUAUCAGCUUGUUGGUGGGGUGAUGGCCUACCAAGGCGGUGGCGGGUAGCCGGCCUGAGAGGGUGGCGGGAGACAUUAGGAGGGAGAUGAGGCCCAGACUCCUACGGGGGGAAGAAGUGGGGGAUAUUGCAAAAUGGGCGAAGGCCUGAUGCGGCGAAGCAGCGUGGGAGGUGAAGGCUUUCGGGUUGUAAACCUCUUUGGCUAUCGAAAGGGUAGGUGGAGAAGAAGCGCCGGCUAACUACAUGCCAGCCGCCGCGGUAAUUC
rnacentral:rRNA from 1 species